rnacentral:rRNA from 1 species
UACAGAGGGGGCAAGCGUUGUUCGGAAUUACUGGGCGUAAAGGGCGCGUAGGCGGCCUUCUAAGUCGAACGUGAAAUCCCUGGGCUCGACCCAGGAACUGCGUCCGAUACUGGAAGGCUUGAAUCCGGGAGAGGGAUGCGGAAUUCCAGGUGUAGCGGUGAAAUGCGUAGAUAUCAGGAGGAACACCGGUGGCGAAGGCGGCUUUCUGGACAGAUACCGACGCUGAGGCACGAAAGCUAGGGGAGCAAACAGG